rnacentral:lncRNA from 1 species
CAACUCACGAGGAACGUCGUAGGCGCGUAUUACAUUCUCAAGUUAUUGGACCAAGCGAACAUUUUUUUAUCGACAUAAGUUCAAUAAUAACUAAAAUAAUCGAAAAUUACAUUUAUGCAUAUGAAUACCAGAAUACCUCGGCAUGAAUCAAAAUAUUUUGAAAAUGUAAUGGUUUUAAAUUCUAAUAAGAAAAAAUCGGUGAAAAUUGCACGUAAAGGUGUAUCUACAGUAAUUUAUUUUAGAGUAGGUAACACGAAAAAACAAAACCGAAUUUAUAUUCCUAAAUUUUUUUUUGUUUUUCCCCGCGCGUUUGUAGACUAGGUACUGUUCAUUUCGACAUCCCCUGUGCACCUACUAGAUUGACUUUGCCACCGGAAAAGAUGAAAAACGGAGCAUUGUUUCGAAUACCUACUUAUCGUGUACGCAGACACAAAUAAUAAAAAUGUAUUAUGCAGAACGUACAUUUGCUAUAUUUAUGUUUCAAUAGAAGUCGAUUCACUCUAAUUUUUAAACUAUUGAUGCUAAAUGUGAUCUGCUGAUCGUACAUUUGAUCUAGGUAUAAGACGGAGACAAUAAAAUGCCCGUGUUACGUCUUAAAUCGUGGAGCUGCAUCGUUCACGAAAUUUCAAAAAUUUAAUGCCCGCGAUUCUGUCUUAUCACUAUGUACACCAAAUAGUAAUAAUUGUUUUAUCAAAUAGAAGAUAACAACAUAAUAUUAUUAUAUUUUCGUAGGUAUGCCGACUUUAAAUUUGAAUCACUCGCGAAUCGCAAUUAUUUGAUAUUUGAACAAAAAUACAGACUACAGAACGGUCGUACAGAGUUCUAUUCACACGUUUUAAUACAGAAAGCACCAUGGAUAGGUGUAUUCUUUUCAGUAAAACAUCCAAUGUAGCCACAUUACGUUAAUCUUCAUUCAUUUCAUAGACGAAUAAAGGAUUUGGAGGCCAUACAGUUGAUGAUUUUAAUUCACCCAGAAAAGCCUUAGAUACCCAAUAAUGUCUAAUUCACAUACGUUUAUUUCAUACAAUGGAUCAUACUUAUUAUUGUUAUCAAAACUGAAAUAAAUUACGUACAAGGAGCUAGGUAGUGGAGCCAAUGUAUUGACAAUUUUUCGGACGUUGAUUUUCUUGAAUAUAAUUCUGCAGACUCAGAUGAAGCCAUACACUAUUGGAGCGAAUUGUGAAACUCAAAGGUAAUACAAUAUUGAUGAGCAAGAAUCCAAUUUUAAUAACCCAGAGGGCUCAACAUAUUUAAAUUGCAAAGAAACACAUAACUAGUUUGGACAUUGGUAUCUUUUCUGAAGAGAAAGUGCAUCUAGUUGGACGCGUUAAACAGGUAGUCAAGCCCCAUUUGCCAUUUGCAACGAGUAGAGAAAAACUUCUUUGAAAAGAGAUUAUGCAAUUGCCAAAAAUCUUCAGUGGCUGUUAUUAAAAUUCUUCAACUAUCAACAAUGGACAUAAUUUAUGAAGACUUUAUUUUUAAGUUUUAUAAUAAAAAAUAAAAGUAGGCCCCUAUUUAAAAUCAUUAUGAAUUAUACUAUCUUACUUUUAAAAU